rnacentral:rRNA from 1 species
CCCGCACAAGCAGCGGAGCGUGUGGUUUAAUUCGAUGCUACACGAAGAACCUUACCUGGGUUUGACAUGUACGUGGUAGGGAAGCGAAAGCGGACCGACCCUUCGGGGAGCGUACACAGGUGCUGCAUGGCUGUCGUCAGCUCGUGCCGUGAGGUGUCGGGUUAAGUCCCGUAACGAGCGCAACCCUUGCCCUUAGUUACAAGUGUCUAAGGGGACUGCCGGCGGUAAGCCGGAGGAAGGUGGGGAUGACGUCAAGUCAGCAUGGCCCUUAUGUCCAGGGCUACACACACGCUACAAUGGUCAGUACAAAGGGCAGCGAAACCGCGAGGUGAAGCGAAUCCCAACAAAGCUGGCCGUAGUUCGAAUUGCAGGCUGCAACCCGCCUGCAUGAAGCUGGAGUUGCUAGUAACCGCGCGUCAGCUAUAGUGCGGUGAAUACGUUCCCGGGGCUU